UUGUGCAGAAUGUUUUUGGAUCCAGAUAACAAACUUCUCCUUUGUAGCCAGAUUUUAACCAUCCAGUGCUUUUUUAGCUCUGCUAUCCAAUUCAAAUAAGAAGCAUGGCAUAUUUGUGUAGCCUACCCGCAGGCCUAAAAGCAUGCCUAUAAUUUUUAAAUCUCCACGCAUUUGCCAGUGGUAUUCUGCAAACUUUAUAUUUAACAAAAGUAUUUUUACAUUUUCAUACGUCUCCUUUAGUUGUACAGAAUGUUUCACUGGAAUGGAUGACUACUUAUUUCCAUUCUGUAGCAAGACAGCCUUCAAACUCCUUUUGGAGGAAAUCAAUGAACAGCCUCCAUUCUGAGGGUUUUUUCUUGAUCUCCAAAUAGUUCAGCAGGUUUAGAAUAUUAUAGCAAAACACCCACAGCGAAGAAUGGUAACAACUCCUGUAAUGAUACAAAGAGAAGGUUCCAGGUUUGAAGCAGUUCUGGCCAAUGCAACAUGGAAAGCUAUCAAGAGGAUUAUUAUUAUUAUGGGUCCAAUGUUACAUUCCCUGAACCCGCUUCAUUCCCUGAAUCCUCUUCAUUAAUCUGGAUGAAUGUAUCUGCCUGUGUUGCAGCCAUCGUAAUAUUCCUGUUCAGCGCAUUGUUAACGACUGCCAUUUUUUUAGAUCGUGGAGCCUUUGAGAAAACACGCGCUUUCUUAUUACUGAACUAUAUGUUUAACUACACACUCUUUGCCUUGUUCUUUUAUUUCCACAACGUACAUAUUCAUAUAUUCGGAGAUUUACUUCAGUCUACCUGCUUGUUUAUCAUUACACUAUAUUCCAUUACUAACGAAGGUGCUUUGUAUUUCAUACUUCCUAUUUGCUGUGAUUUUAUUGUGAAAUACUUUAAACCAAGCAAAUAUGAAAGUGAAAGCUUUCUGCGUAUCCAGAUCAUAUUCACAAUUGUUUUGUGGGUUUUUAUCUGGAUUAAAGAAUUAUUAAUGAUCCUGGCUUUCUCAGAUCACGGAGCUGACCAAUGCUAUAUACUUUUAUAUUUAAUUUACGUUUUAAUCCAUUUAGCCAUAGAAAGCUUGUAUCUUAUUACAAUGCUGGUAUUUGUAUGUCUACUGAUCUACAUCGCAGUGAAAAGUAGAGAAAAUGAUACGAUGAAAAUUUCAUUAAUAACUAUGAUUGCUAUUGUUAUAUUCGUCAUAAUCUUAUACUCUGCUGAAACCGUUGCGUUUGUUGCACUGUAUGGAGUGAGACAAAGUACUAUCUUUUACGCACCCCAAUUAUUAAAUAUGGUAAGAUAUGUAAUAGUGCCAUUUCUAUUGCUUUCUGAUGUCACUAUAAGACGAAGUAUUCGGAAAUUAUAUUCAGGGAAAUGUAAAAAACCUACAGACCCUCCGUCGCAUGAGUUUACUAUUGAACUUAAUUAAUCACAUAAAGUGUAAAAAAAAGUAUUAUAUCUACUUACGAGUAUCUCGUAAAUCUACAUGCAAUAUAUCAGCUUCUAUAGCCCUUUAAAUAUUUUAUCAACUUUAUAAUAUUUUCCUCAUUUUACUGGCAAUUGGCUCAUCCCUUCAUGUUUUAUUUUAUCUGCCUCCAUUAUUCCCAAAUACUUUUACCACUGUCCUUCACCAACUGCUUUCAUUGUUCAUUGUUGGAAUUUCAAUUUCUUGUCGUUCUUCAAAUUUUCCUCGUUUCAUUAUCAAUACAGUGCACUUUCAAUCCCAAAUUCCAUAUAGACAUUAUUUGAGAAAAUGCGAAGAAUAUAUACAAGACUUUCAAGCUGCUUCUCAUUUGUCACAUAAAGCUUUUAUAUCAUCUAUAAAAGGGAGAUUUAUCUGAUCAUAUCCUUUCCCAAAAUCAUAAGCUAUUUUAACUCAUCAUAAUAUAAAACUGAGUGGUAUCAUGGCCAAUAUAAAUAUAUUUCUUUACUGCCCACAAGGGGCUAAACACAGAGGGGACACACAAGGAAAGACAAAGGGAUUAAGUCGAUUAUAUCGACCCCAGUGCGAAACUGGUACUUUAUUUAUCGACCCUGAAAGGAUGAAAGGCAAAGUCGACCUCGGUGGAAUUUGAACUCAGAACAUACGACAAACGAAAUACCGCUAAGCAUUUCGCCUGGCGCGCUAACGCUUCUGACCAAUAUAAAUAGCAAUGGAGAUAAGCUAUCAUCUUGAAAUAGUCCAUGUCUGAUGUUCGCUUUCCCAAGUCUUUGUUUUGCUCCUACCAAUUCAGUAUUUCAAUUUUUCAUACUUUCAUUUACUAUUUUCUCUAUAUUUUAUUCCACUCAAAGCAUGUUCAUUGAUUUACUUAUCCAACUGUGCGGUACCAUGCUCUAUGCUUUUCUGUAAUCCAACCAUGCUACACUCAAUACUGCCAAUCUGUGUCUACAAUUUCUGGUUAUCAUUUUAUCAACUAAAUGAUCAUUUUCCCCUGCUUUCCUUACUGCAUUCUUUUUGUUCUCCUGAAAGCAGAUUGUUGCUUUCCAGGUGAUUAUAUAACUUUUCCGCCACUACACUGGUUAUAAGCUUCCAUAUAAGUGAUAAAAAGGUUAUAGGUAGAAAAUUUGAUAUCAGUUUACCUUUCAAUACGCUAUUAUGCCUUUCCUUGAGACAUAAGGACGUUCGUCCACUUCUCAUCCAGAUAAGGAGUGACCCUACUUCGGGUAUUCAUCCAGGUGUGCAGCAAUCCUUUCAUUCAACUAUAAAUUUCUUCAGUCAAUAACCUUAUACACCAUCCGAGUAGGAUCCUUUCCAAUUCGCUACUUUUUUUUUUUUACUUUAGUAUCACUGAACGCUGAUCACUUCUGACCUCUUUUUGUUUUGGUACAUUUGCAUGUUGUCUCCCGACCUAUGUUAGCCUCUCUGCGCUUUCUAUAUGUCUCACUGACCUAUUCCAGAAUUCUCCCCCAAAACCCCUUACUUACUUCUGCAUCAAGAAUCCCUUCCUGAUGUUGUUCCUCUCUAUAUUAUCAAAAAGACGCGUUCUAUUUGCUUGAAACAAUCUAUUCUGUUCAAAAUCUUUGUAUCCAGCACCAUAUCUUUUUAAUUUGGCCUUUAAAGCUGUCACCAUUUGUGACAAUUCUUCAAGUACCGUUUACUUUCCUUCUCUUCUAACUUGUAUUGACAAUUCAAUUUUCUGAUUACUAAUUUAUUCUUGAGUUCUCAUUAUCCUAUUCAAUUAUCCCGGUUCUUUCCAUAUUUUUUCCAACUUUAUUCAUACUAUUCUCCCCCCGUUUGAUUCUUGCUUUUCAUUCCCCUUCUUUUCUUCAUCACUCUUCUGCUUGUAUACAAUUGUCUCAGCUACAACAUUAGUAGCAGCUAUGAUUAACUGGUUUGUUUCACUGAUAUUCCUUGUUUUUAACAAAGCUCAAAACAUCUUUUACUUUGCCUGUGACUCUCCUUACUUUUCCUCUGUCCAUAUACCUUAUAUUUGAGGACAUUUCAUUGUUCGCACCACAUAUUUUACCUAACAGCAUUUCUAGAACCCACUUCACUUCAUAGUUCAAGUCUUGUGCAGCAUUUACUGCCACUUGCCCAGCUUGAUCAUGUUCACUAUUUACUUCAACAGGAUUCUCAGGCACACAGUGAUUCCUUUCUUUUUCUUUUUUUUUUUUUAUCUCUUACUCCUUCAUUACCACUUUCUGCUACAGUUGUUUCACACACUUCUUGCUUAUGUUUUUCUAUUCUUCUCUGAAUUUCUUUAAUCUCUAAUUCUGCAAUCCAAUCAUUUAUACGAAUUGCCCUUGCUUAGUCUAUCAAUCAUCGGGCAGAAAAUUCAAGGACACCCUUUUCGUCCCAUCUUCUUUUUAUUGUAUCCUAAGAUCUCCUUUACUUCGGUCACCUUUCAGCUAACAUCCAAUCACAUUCUUGUUUACCUCUUUUUUCCCAUUUCAUUUUGAUUCUGGUCCUGAUCAAAGGCUUGACAACGACCUUCAGGGGCUUGAUCAGAAACUCCUUGCCUACCGUGCGCGAAUGUUUGCCUGACAUCUAGGACAUAGUGGUCCACUGUUUCUAGCUCAUCGUUGCAAAAUCGGCACUUUGAGUUUACAUCACUUUUCAUCACAUUGGCUUGAUAGUUCUGGAUCAAUAAGCUCUGAUGUUGGGCAGCCAAGAUAAAGCCCUCACUCUCUGCCAUUAGCUCUGAGCUCCGUAGUCGGUGAGGAUGCGCUUCUGGUCUACAUCAGCUUGUUUGCUACAAGCCACAUAUUUGCCGUGCAGGGGUUUUUGUUCCCACCUAUCAGCCAGUUGCUCAAACGCAUUUUGCUUUGCUAUUGAUUUCACCUUCUUUGUAACUACA